AUUUCUGAAGAAAAAACAUUUAAUGUCUUGGUAUCUGCCAUACUGCUACCCAUAUCGCGAGAAAGAAGUGAUAACCACCCCAUGUCACCAUGCCGUCACUCUUACGAAGAGAUAAUGGCCAUCCUAAUUCCCACCCUGUAUCAUGAGUUCCAUGAAUUUACAGAGGCUCGAUAUCUUUUGUUUUUCAGAAUUACGGAGCUCCAGAAGACAGCGAACUGAAGAAGCAGGAGCCAUUUGCACUGAAAAAUCAGCUCUUAAAUUCCAUGAUCGUUCAGAAAGAAGGGGCUGCUCUACAGACUGCUAAAGAUACCGGGUGCUGAGUUGAAACUCCUACACUAGGUCAAAGAUGGAGGGCAAAGAGAUUGAGAUCGACAACGACCUGAAACCACUGCAGUUCUACUCCAUCGAAGACAAGGCCCUUGUCCGCUGGUUGUGAUCAGCAAAGGUCCCGAUUGGUUGCCUGAUGACUCAAACUGAAUUCUUCCGCGGCAUAAUGUUUGGCCGGAGCAAGGAGUUUGGGUAGCCAGGCAACCGGAUUGGAAGUUUAAGCGAUAUUCCGAAAUCCAUGAGAUAAAUGUACAGCACUAAAACUUGGACGAAAACACAGCGCAAUAUCUAUUCAUCCAGAGGAGACCAAUCGAUGUAGGAGAAGGAAACACUUAGGUUGUGUUCAUUUGGAACGAAUCGAAAGGGAACUGUUCAAAAUGAAGUGAAACGGGAAGAGAACAUCUGAACUUGUCCAAUAAGAGACCCUAGUGUCAUGUGCCCCUUAGUGCACACUUGGGUUGUGUGAACAAUUUGUGUAUUUGUAUUUAUCAGGAUUGUAUCAACAGCUUACAUCAUACAUAAAACAAUCAUGUACUAAACUAUUACAAAAGUA